UAUAUUUUAGUGUAAGAAGCACAAAGGUUUUUGAAGCCUUAAGAAGUAGUUUAAUUCUACUGGAUGUAA
rnacentral:tRNA from 1 species